GGGGUCCCUACUCUACCCACAAGCCCAAAUCAUUAUUGGGUUAUGUUUGUUAUGGUAAUUUUUACAAAUAAAAAGUGGAGAAGAAUCAAAAAAGAAUGUAAAGUUUGAAGCUUUUUCAUAUGUUUUUGGUUGAUCUGAGAAAGAAUGGAGUUUUUUGAUUGAUUGGACGUUUUAAGUAUGGAAACUACAGUGGCUGGCUUGUCUUGUUUUCAGUGUUAUUCAUGUAAUGGUGAAAGGAAGGAUUGUAGAGUAUGAAGAAUGUUAAUUGUGUCAGCAAAAGGGGAAGACGUCAGAUUAUUUGUGUGUGUGCAAGAUAAUGAACUGCCUAAGCUUGUCGGAAUAUAUUCUGAUGGAUGAAAUGGUUACAUCUCCUGAAUGCCUUGCAACUAAGGAUCACACGUCGAGUGUCCAUUCAUUACGAGCUGGAGAAUCUGGCCAGAAGCCUGAUACUGGAAAUAUCGAAGAAGCUGAAUCAUCUUUGCGUGAGAGUGGUUGUUUGAAUUAUGAGGAAGCAAGAGCAUUACUAGGAAGAUAUGAAUACCAAAAGGGGAAUAUAGAGUCCGCUUUACAUGUUUUUGAAGGGAUAGAUAUUGCCUCAGUGACUCCUAAGUUGAAACUUGCACUUGCCGAAAGAGUGCAAACUCAAAAGAGACGUUCACGGAGUUUUUCUACACCACCACUAUCCAUAAACGCUGUGAGUUUGCUCCUGGAAGCAGUCUUUCUCAAAGCAAAAUCAUUGCAGGCUCUUGGGAGGUUUAAAGAAGCUGCUCAAUCAUGCACUGUUAUUCUGGAUAUUGUUGACUCUUCAUUACCAGAAGGCUUGCC
rnacentral:misc_RNA from 1 species